ACUACCCUCUCGGCGAGAGAUCCUUACAAGUCACCCAGACCUUCAUCUCCCAUACCUCCGUCUCUGAAGUAAAUACUUGCCUUCCGACUCAUUGAAGAGAAAGUAUUCCUCCAGUACAGGAGGUGUUCCCCCUCAUUCUGGAUCAGUGCUUCCUCCAGACCAUUCACUGCAUCCAGAAACUAAAGUCAACCACCGAAGCUGUGAACGCAGAGGUUUAAGUUAGCCAUCAGUAUUUGAGGGAUACUGUGUGUGUGUGUGUGUGUGAACAUUUCUCUGGGCCCUGAAAAUGAACGGACGGUAUGUGUGCCCCUCUAUGAGUCUAUUCAUUCCCACUGUAACAACUUUCUCAUUUACAUGCAAUGGAAAGCAAAUAAAUAUGCUGCCCCA